rnacentral:rRNA from 1 species
UACGUAGGGGGCAAGCGUUGUCCGGAGUUAUUGGGCGUAAAGGGCUCGUAGGCGGUUUGUCGCGUCGGGAGUGAAAACCCAGGGCUUAACCCUGGGCCGGCUUCCGAUACGGGCAGACUAGAGGUAUGCAGGGGAGAACGGAAUUCCUGGUGUAGCGGUGAAAUGCGCAGAUAUCGGGAGGAACACCAGUGGCGAAGGCGGUUGCCUGGAGCUUUGCUGACGCUGAUGCGCGAAAGCGUGGGGAGCGAUCCGG